rnacentral:lncRNA from 1 species
AUGGGAAAUAAGCAAGACGAACUCCAACUCCUAGCACAGCACCACACAUACGAUGUCAUAGGCAUCACUGAAACCUGGUGGGAUGACUCCCAUCACUGGAAUUUAACCAUUGAGGGCUAUAACCUCUUUCACAGAAAUAGAACAAAGGGGAGAGGAGGGGGAGUAGCUUUAUAUGUCAAAAACAGUUACGUUGCAGAAGAAAUGCAAGACUGUAAUCCGGGAAACCAGCUUGAAAGCAUCUGGAUAAGAAUCAAGGGAACCGGGACUCAAAAAGAUCUUGUCGUGGGUGUCUACUACAGACCUCCGAGUCAGGAUGAAGGACUUGAUGAAGCCUUCUGUCAACAGCUGACCAAACAGGCACAAAGAAGAGAUAUAGUAGUCAUGGGCGAUUUCAAUUAUCCCGAUAUCUGCUGGAAAACAAACUCAGCCAAGAGUACAAAGUCCAACAAAUUCCUCACUUGCCUUGCAGAUAAUUUUAUGGUCCAGAAGGUAGAAGAGGCAACAAGGGGAUCAGCAACUCUUGAUCUAAUCUUAACAAAUGUGGAAGACCUGAUCAAUACAGUUGAAGUGGUUGGAUCCUUAGGGGCAAGUGACCAUGUGCUCCUGCAGUUUGCAAUACAAAGGAAUGCUGAAACUAAGACAAGUCAAACACGCAUUCUGGACUUUAAGAGAGCUGACUUCCAAAAAAUGAAGGAAUUACUGAGCGGCAUUCCAUGGACGCCGAUAUUAAAAAACAAGGGAGUUAAGGAUGGAUGGGAGUUUUUCAAAAGUGAAAUACUCAAGGCGCAAAUGCAAACAGUGCCAACAAAGAAGAAAAAUAAGACAAGUGCAAAGAAGCCAGAAUGGAUGUCCAAAGAACUUCUAACUGAGCUAAAGCUCAAAAGUGACAUGCACAAGAAGUGGAAAAGGGGAGAAAUCACCAAAGAAGAAUUCAAACGUAUAGCCAACUCCUGUAGGGAAAAGGUUCGCAAGGCUAAAGCGCAAAAUGAGCUCAGGCUUGCCAGGGACAUAAAAAACAACAAAAAAGGUUUUUUUGCUUAUGUUGGUAGAAAAAGGAAGAAAAAGGAGGCGAUAGGGCCACUGCAAGGAGUAGAUGGGGUGAUGGUGACAGGGGAUAGGGAAAAGGCAGAACUGCUUAAUGCCUUCUUUGCCUCGGUCUUCUCACAAAAAGAAAGCCAUCUUCAACCUCAGCAACAUGGAAUGGACGAAGGAUUGGGGGAAAUCCAACCCCAAAUAGGGAAACAAGUUGUCCAGGAACACCUGGCCACUCUAAAUGAAUUCAAGUCCCCAGGGCCAGAUCAGCUACAUCCAAGAGUAUUGAAGGAACUAGCGGAAGUUAUUUCAGAACCACUGGCAAUCAUCUUCGAGAGUUCUUGGAGAACAGGAGAAGUCCCAGCAGAUUGGAGGAGGGCGAAUGUGGUCCCUAUCUUCAAGAAGGGAAAAAAGAACGACCCAAACAAUUACCGUCCGGUCAGCCUCACAUCAAUACCAGGCAAGAUUCUGGAAAAGAUCAUUAAGGAAGUGGUCUGCAAACACCUAGAAACAAAUGCGGUCAUUGCUAAUAGUCAACACGGAUUUACCAAAAACAAGUCAUGCCAGACUAAUCUGAUCUCUUUUUUCGAUAGAGUUACGAGUUGGGUCGUUCUUUUUUCCCUUCUUGAAGAUCGGGACCACAUUCGCCCUCCUCCAAUCUGCUGGGACUUCUCCCGUUCUCCAAGAACUCUCGAAGAUAAUUGCCAGUGGUUCUGAAAUAACUUCCGCUAGUUCCUUCAAUACUCUUGGAUGGAGCUGAUCUGGCCCUGGGGACUUGAAUUCGUUUAGAGUGGCCAGGUGUUCCUGGACAACUUGUCUCCCUAUUUGGGGUCAAAACUGGGAAGAUGCUGAGAAUACGCGGGAACUGCAGCAAAGCGUCGUUUGCCCUCCGAGAUGGGCGGACGUGGUCACUCCACGCAAGGGGACGGACUGAGGAAUGCCGGCCCAUGAUCAGAGACGGACAAAGGGACUGCCAAUUAAAUUAACUGUAAUCGAUUUCAAGAAAGAUGGGGACUCACUCACUUACUAACUCCUUUUUUCUGAUACCCCGCCCCAUCUCCCCGUAGGGUCUCACACGAGGGCCAAGCCCAGAAUACAACAUGAAAUACAACUGCAAAAUGCACGUAAAGCAUAUAAACAUAAAACCAAAAGGCAUACAAAGUACAAUAAAAACAUACAACUGACCAAUAGCCAAGCACCGUGAGUGUAUUCAAGACUGGAAGUAAGGCAGUAGCAUUUAUAUACGUGCCAUGUCUCACAACCUCUAAAUCUGGACCAGAAUAAAGUGAAAUGGCUGCGUAUAGGUGGAAGCAGAGGACAUUAUCUGCUUUGAACUGGAUUAUAUGAGUCUACACGGCCAGGCAAUCCAGUUCAAAACAGAUAAUCUGGAUUUUAUCUGGCAGUGUAGAAGGGCCUGCAAUUCCUGUGAUUCUUCAGGGCUGGCAAUCCUCCCCCACACACCUCCAGAAAUAAUAAUAAUAAUAAAACUUUAUUUAUACCCCGCCACCAUCUCCCCUAGAUCUCUUCUGUUUCUUUGUGGAUCCCCAGACACGGGGAGAAUUACUAGCAGAUCCAGGAACAUUUGGAAUCAAGGAUCUAAUGGUGCAUCUGCACGGUAGAAUUAAUGUACAGGGGAGUCUCAUUUAUUAUUAUUGUUUAUUAUUUACAACAUUUAUAUUUUGCCCUUCUCACCCUGAAGGUGACUCAGGGCGGAUCACAUUACACAUAUACGCAGUGUUUUUCAAUUGUGAUUUUACAAGGCAUUGAGCAUUUAUCACUUUUUCACGACAACAACCACAACAACAACAGGGGCCAAUGUCAGUUGGAAGAUCCAUGAAUCAGGAGAGCGUUUCCAGGAGCGGAAGUGUCCUUCCGUAGGAUUAUCUACGAGGAGGAGAAUAAUAAGGGAGACUCUCCACUCGGCGUGAGGUUCGUAGACUCAGACCCAGGUCUGUCUGUUCGCUUCUCAGUGUGCUUUGUGUGUCUAUACAAGACCGUUGUAUCGGUGUGUGCUUUUUCUGGUUUAUUUUUGUAGUUGUGGCAGCCACUCGGGGAGCCGUAUAGUUUCCGCAUUGUAGAUUAUGGAAUUACUAUCUUUCUUUUCUUAAUAAAAGCAAGUAUUUGCGAAAAGGGGAUUUAGAAGGGUCAAAAUACCAGAGACCGGAAAGGCAGGUAAACCUGGGGUUCAAUGGAAAAUCUGGGGUCCUUUGGGCAUCGUUUUCCUUCUAUAGAUCAGUCUCAGGGCUCUGGGUUUGAUUUUCAUGCUUCAGGUAUUAAAUAUAUUCCGUGUUUUGAUCAUCAAUUGCUUUUUCGGGGGGGGGGGGGGCUGGGAUAUGACUGUAGUUUUCGCUUCCACGCAUCUGAAUCCAAACUUUCAAGAAAGCUUUCAUUUAUAUUUAUCGUGUCAGAAGCGAACCGAGGGUACAGUUGCAAUGCAUUUUAAAUGUCAGAGUUUUCAAAACUUGUCCUGAUACUAAAUGUCCUUUGAGCAGAAUCUGUCCCCUUGGAGUAAGGCCUCUGGUGUGGCUGUGAGAAGGUGCUCGGUUGUGCCCGUGGCAGGGCUCGGUCCGCAUUGCAGUCGGUGGUGGGGUGUGGUUUGGUCUCCUCCACACUUGCACGUCAUGGACUCCACUCUGUGGCCACUUUCUGAAGGCGGUCUCUGCGUCUCGUGGUGCCAGAGCGCAGUCUGUUCCGGGCCUUCCUUCCUUCCACGUCGCCCCGUCCUCUGUCCGCCCAGGAGGGAGUCUCUCCUCCCAUCUCAGCCAUGGAUUGAGGUCUCCGGUCUUAGCCUGCCACCUUUGGACUCUUGACUGCUGAGGUGUUCCAGUGACUAUCUCUGUGGAUCUUAGGAAAUUAUUUCUUGAUGUCAGGCGUUGGCGUGCUGUCUGAUAUCCAAACAGGGGAUGGGCCGGAGAUGUCACUGCCUUGGUCCUUUCAUUACCGGCUGCUACUCCCCACGGAUAUCAGGUGGUGCAAUGCCGGCUAAGUAGUAUAAUUUCUCCAGUGGUGAGGGGUGUAGACAUCCUGUGGUGACGCGGCAUGUCUCAUUCAGAGCUGCAUCCACUGUGUUAACGUGGUGAGAUGUAUUCCACUCUGGGCGUGCACACUCAGGAGCCGAGUAGCCAAGCACAAGGGCAGGUGUCUUCACUGUCUCGGGUUGUGAUCUACCUGGUCCAGUCAGCUGUCCUGUGAUAUUGGUUCUAGCACCCGCUUUUUUCUCGAUAUUCAACACAGCUGUCCCUCCAUAUGUGCAGGUGUCAUUUUCAUGAAUGAUGAUGAUGAUUUUAUUUUCUACCCGCCUCCCUUUAUGCAGGCCAAAAUUCCAUUGACCUUUUUUGUCAGAACCUGGAAGCUCUUGGCCAAUCCUUGGACACAGCUUUAUUUUCCAUCUUACCAUAGGCAACAGAAAGACAGUUCUUGGCAGUUCCUGGCAAACCCUGUGUAUAUCAUCCUGCUGACCCAAGACCCCUCCCACUCUCUCUAUUCUACCAGAUACUUUCCAUUCCCACUAACGAUUCUCCGGUUUCUGUUUCCUCCAGUCCAGAUGGGCCUUACCUGAGGUGCACUCCCAGCCUCCCCCUCUCAACAGCCAUGGCAUGGGGUGGGCGGAGCAGCUCAGCCCAAGCUGUUAGGGACACAUCCUGAUGUAACUCCCCUCCAAGAAGGUGGCCCUGGAAAGAAAGGAAAACAAAGAAAGAAAAACAAUGAGGCAGUCGAGGUCCAGUUUUAAGGGGAAGGUCUCUGUGAAAAAGCCUCAGCGACUUGGGAGCCCGCACGUGCUCAGGAGCCACCCACUCGGGGUGGGGGACCCGCCAAGACCACUGGACCGGGCAGAGCAGCCACCCUCGAGAUCCAAAAUAUCCUUGAUCUCGGAAUGUGUGUGGGGCCACCCACCAUAAUGGGAACAGGGUCAGAGCCAGACUUACUCCACUUAUGGGAAGUACUGGCUUGUUCAAGGAGACUGACAUGGAAUACGGGAUGGACUUUCCUCAUAGGAGGUCAUUCCAACUGAACAGCCACUGGGUUGGUAACAGCAGAGAUGGGAAGCGGGCCAGUGCAUUUAGGGGAAAUGUAUUACUGUCCCCCAUGUUGUUUAACAUCAACCUGAAGCCGCUGGGAGAGAUCAUCAGGAGUUUCGGGGUGCGGUGCCAUCUGUACGCAGAUGAUGGCCAGCUCUGUCACUCCUUCCCACCUGUCACUCAGGAGGCUGUCCAGGUACUGAACCGGUGAAAUUGAAUCCAGACAAGACAGAGGUCCUCCUGGUCAAUCAUAAGGCCUAUCAGGGCAUAGGGUCACAGCCUGUGCUGGAUGGCAUCACACUCCCCAUGGAGGCGCAGGUCCGCAGUCUGGGGGUGAUCCUAGACUCGUGGUUGAGCCUGGAGCCCCAGGUCUCCGCGGUGGUCAGGGGAGCCUUUGCACAGCUGAAACGUGUGUGCCAGCCGUGCCCGUACCUGGGAAGCCGGACUUGGGCACGGUGGUCCACGCUCUUGUUACAUCCCGAUUAGACUACUACAACGCGCUCUACGUGGUGCUGCCUUUGGAGACUGUUCGGAAGCUCCAACUAGUCCAACGGGAGGGAGGCAGCCAGGUUGAUAACCGGAGUGACGUACAGGGAGCGUACCACCCUCCUUUUACGUCAGCUCCACUGGCUGCUGAUUGGCUACCGGGCACAAUUCAAAGUGCUGGCUUUAGAGUAUAAAGCUCUAAACGGUUCCGGCCCAGCUGACUUGUCC